UACGGAGGGGGCGAGCGUUGUUCGGAAUUAUUGGGCGUAAAGGGCGCGUAGGCGGCCGCCCAAGUCGGGUGUGAAAUCCCUCGGCUCAACCGAGGAACUGCACUCGAUACUGGCUGGCUCGAGUCCGGGAGGGGAUGGUGGAAUUCCCAGUGUAGCGGUGAAAUGCGUAGAUAUUGGGAAGAACACCGGUGGCGAAGGCGACCAUCUGGACCGGAACUGACGCUGAGGCGCGAAAGCCAGGGGAGCGAAUGGG
rnacentral:rRNA from 1 species